AGCGAACGCUGGCGGCAGGCUUAACACAUGCAAGUCGAACGCCCCGCAAGGGGAGUGGCAGACGGGUGAGUAACACGUGGGAACGUACCCUUUGGUUCGGAAUAACUUGGGGAAACUCAAGCUAAUACCGGAUAAGCCCUUAUGGGGAAAGGUUUACUGCCGAAGGAUCGGCCCGCGUCUGAUUAGCUAGUUGGUGAGGUAAUGGCUCACCAAGGCGACGAUCAGUAGCUGGUCUGAGAGGAUGAUCAGCCACACUGGGACUGAGACACGGCCCAGACUCCUUCGGGAGGCAGCAGUGGGGAAUAUUCGACAAUGGGGGCAACCCUGAUCCAGCCAUGCCGCGUGAGUGAUGAAGGCCUUAGGGUUGUAAAGCUCUUUUACCCGGGACGAUAAUGACUGUACCGGGAGAAUAAGCCCCGGCUAACUUCGUGCCAGCAGCCGCCGCAG
rnacentral:rRNA from 1 species